rnacentral:rRNA from 1 species
AACGAACGCUGGCGGCAUGCCUAACACAUGCAAGUCGAACGAGAUCUUCGGGUCUAGUGGCGCACGGGUGCGUAACGCGUGGGAAUCUGCCCUUUGGUUCGGAAUAACAGUUGGAAAGGACUGCUAAUACCGGAUGAUGACGAAAGUCCAAAGAUUUAUCGCCAGAGGAUGAGCCCGCGUAGGAUUAGCUAGUUGGUGUGGUAAAGGCGCACCAAGGCGACGAUCCUUAGCUGGGCUGAGAGGUUGAUCAGCCACACUGGGACUGAGACACGGCCCAGACUCCGACGGGAGGCAGCAGUGGGGAAUAUUGGACAAUGGGCGAAAGCCUGAUCCAGCAAUGCCGCGUGAGUGAUGAAGGCUUUAGGGUUGUAAAGCUCUUUUACCCGGGAUGAUAAUGACAGUACCGGGAGAAUAAGCUCCGGCUAACUCCGUGCCAGCCGCCGCGGUAA